rnacentral:rRNA from 1 species
CUAAGAAUAUUCCGCAAUGGACGAAAGUCUGACGGAGCGACGCCGCGUGGAUGAAGAAGGCCGAAAGGUUGUAAAAUCCUUUUGCUGGGGAAGAAUAAGCGGGGCAGGAAAUGGCCGCGUGAUGACAUGAACCGGUGAAUAAGCCCCGGCUAACUACGUGCCAGCAGCCGCGGUAACACGUAGGGGGCAAGCGUUGUUCGGAAUUAUUGGGCGUAAAGGGCAUGUAGGCGGUCUUGUAAGUCUGGCGUGAAAUGGUAAGGCUCAACCUUAUCCUGCGUCGGAAACUGCGAGACUAGAAUCACUGAGGGGGAAUCAGAAUUCCAGGUGUAGGGGUGAAAUCUGUAGAUAUCUGGAAGAAUACCGGUGGCGAAGGCGGAUUCCUGGCAGAUGAUUGACGCUGAGGUGCGAAAGCGUGGGGAGCAAACAG